GACGAACGCUGGCGGCGUGCUUAACACAUGCAAGUCGAACGGUGAAGCGCCUUCCUUUUUGGUGGGUGUGGAUGAGUGGCGAACGGGUGAGUAACACGUGAGUAACCUGCCCCCUUCUUCUGGAUAACCGCAUGAAAGUGUGGCUAAUACGGGAUAUUCUGAGUCUGUCGCAUGAUGGGUCUGGGAAAGAUAUUGUUUCGGUGGGGGAUGGGCUCGCGGCCUAUCAGCUUGUUGGUGGGGUGAUGGCCUACCAAGGCGGUGACGGGUAGCCGGCCUGAGAGGGUGGACGGUCACACUGGGACUGGGACACGGCCCAGACUCCUACGGGAGGCAGCAGUGGGGAAUAUUGCACAAUGGGCGCAAGCCUGAUGCAGCGACGCCGCGUGAGGGAUGGAGGCCUUCGGGUUGUGAACCUCUUUCGCCAGUGAAGCAGGCCUGCCUCGUUUGUGGGUGGGUUGACGGUAGCUGGAUAAGAAGCGCCGGCUAACUACGUG
rnacentral:rRNA from 1 species